UGGGGAAUAUUGCACAAUGGGGGAAACCCUGAUGCAGCCAUGCCGCGUGUGUGAAGAAGGCUCUAGGGUUGUAAAGCACUUUCAAUGGGGAGGAAAAGUUAGUAGUUAAUACCUGCUAGCCGUGACGUUACCCAUAGAAGAAGCACCGGCUAACUCCGUGCCAGCAGCCGCGGUAAUACGGAGGGUGCAAGCGUUAAUCGGAAUUACUGGGCGUAAAGCGCGCGUAGGCGGCUUAUUAAGUCGGAUGUGAAAGCCCCGGGCUCAACCUGGGAACUGCAUCCGAUACUGGUGAGCUAGAGUACAGUAGAGGGUGGUAGAAUUUCUUGUGUAGCGGUGAAAUGCGUAGAUAUAAGAAGGAAUACCAGUGGCGAAGGCGGCCACCUGGACUGAUACUGACGCUGAGGUGCGAAAGCGUGGGGAGCAAACAGG
rnacentral:rRNA from 1 species